rnacentral:rRNA from 1 species
GACGAACGCUGGCGGCGUGCCUAAUACAUGCAAGUUGAGCGAUGAAGAUUGGUGCUUGCACCAAUUUGAAGAGCAGCGAACGGGUGAGUAACGCGUGGGGAAUCUGCCUUUGAGCGGGGGACAACAUUUGGAAACGAAUGCUAAUACCGCAUAACAACUUUAAACAUAAGUUUUAAGUUUGAAAGAUGCAAUUGCAUCACUCAAAGAUUAUCCCGCGUUGUAUUAGCUAGUUGGUGAGGUAAAGGCUCACCAAGGCGAUGAUACAUAGCCGACCUGAGAGGGUGAUCGGCCACAUUGGGACUGAGACACGGCCCAAACUCCUACGGGAGGCAGCAGUAGGGAAUCUUCGGCAAUGGACGAAAGUCUGACCGAGCAACGCCGCGUGAGUGAAGAAGGGUUUCGGAUCGUAAAACUCUGUUGGUAGAGAAGAAAGUUGGUGAGAGUGGAAAGCUCAUCAAGUGACGGUAACUACCCAGAAAGGGACGGCUAACUACGUG